rnacentral:rRNA from 1 species
UACCAGCACCCCGAGUGGUCGGGACGUUUAUUGGGCCUAAAGCCUCCGUAGCCGGUUCUACAAGUCUUCCGUUAAAUCCAACUGCUUAACAGAUGGGCCGCGGAGGAUACUAUAAGACUAGGAGGCAGGAGAGGCAAGCGGUACUCAGUGGGUAGGGGUAAAAUCCGUUGAUCCAUUGAAGACCACCAGUGGCGAAGGCGGCUUGCCAGAAUGCGCUCGACGGUGAGGGAUGAAAGCUGGGGGAGCAAACCGG